CGACGUCGCUCGCCGCGCUAGUUUGACAUUUCCGUCACGAUCGGAGACUGAGAGUGAGUGUAGGCGCGAGCGGUGCGCGAUCGCAGCGUCGGCGACGGCGACGGCGACAGCAACGGCAACGGCAACGGCAACAACGGCAUCGACGGCAUCGAGUAGUCUCGGUUUAUUUCGCUCGUGGCGACUGCGGCCGCUCCAGUGGCAACGUCGGCGAUCCCCGCGAGUUUCCUACUCUCACAAGCGACGGUCGUCGCACCAUCGGUCUUUCAUCUGUAUGCCUUGCGUACGCCCCCACCGUCGCCGAUUUUCCAUGAAUGUUUUGCUUCUGAGAGAUCAAUCUCUGAGAUACAGGUAGUGAUAAAUUAGAGACUUUUGCAGAGUCAGGAUUUAAAGGAUGCCAAUGUUGAUAUUGUCUUCCCGCAGCCAUUGGUAAUGCAAAUAUCCUUCCUUGAUCUGAUGUCUGCAAGAUGGUCCUCAUCGUCCAGUUCCAAUUUUAGCUGAGAUUAAUACAGAAAUAGCGAAACGAAUACGGUCCAGCUUGAUGGUAAUGCGGGGAUGUGGAUCUGCUUCGACCCAAUAGGAAGCCGAAUAGGCUGGGGUACUUCCAUCUCGUUCGUCGUACUCCUAUAUUGGACCUCCAUUACCAUUGAUGCCAGCCUAACGAAUGCAGCCGCGUCCAAUGUCCCUCGUAAUACCGUCACAUCGGAGAUACCAGCAUCGGCACAUCACGAGAACGACGAAUGCAGGAAUGUGACCACUGAUAAUAGAGAGGGUACUGGACUGUCAGUGGUCAGCCAUGGAUCCGGUUAUCCUCAUUCGCCGAUAGUGCCUCCAACCUUCCUGUACGGAGCUCUUACCUGCCAACCCUAUCAAGGAAUUUAUGUGAAUCACAUCUACUUUCAACUCGCAAAUGCCUUCUUCUUAUUGUCACACCUUGCACCAAGCGGCAUACAUGGUGUACUGUAUUUAAGGUGCACUCUACUUGUGGGCUGUGCCUUUCUUGCUUUGUGGGGCUGGACAAUAGCUUGCUGGCUGGAUGCUGCUCUCUGGAAUGCUCUCUUUGUUGUCAUCAACUUUGUCCACGUAUGCACGCUUCUUUACAAGCUCAGGCCUAUCAAGUUUACAAGGGAAAUCGAAGAGGUAUACGUUGCAGUGUUCCAGCCAUUACGGGUGUCUCGUCAUCAGUUCAGAAAAGUGUUAAAUUGUAUGAAGAUCAUUCGCCAAUUGAAGUAUCAAGAGGUUUAUGCACAAGAAAAAGUGACUAAAGUCGAUUCUCUAUCAUUGGUUCUGUCGGGAAAACUCGUUGUCUCGCAAAAUGGAAGAGCAUUGCAUAUCGUCUUCCCACAUCAGUUCCUGGAUUCUCCAGAAUGGUUUGGUGUUUCGACGGACGAAUAUUUCCAGGUGUCGAUAACAGCUAUGGAAGAAUCGAGGAUAUUAUUGUGGCACAGAGACAAACUAAAAUUAAGCAUAAUUAGCGAUCAAUUCCUGCAGGCAGUGUUUGAUCACAUUUUGGGCAGAGAUGUAGUUAAAAAAUUAAUGCAGGUGAGCGAAACGAUGGCUGCUAGCAGUCAUCACCAACAGAACGGACAGAUAAUUGGUCUGGGUGGUAUUGGAGCCUUAGAAAAUGACGCUGAUACAAAACUUUUUGUUGUAAAAAAGACUGGUGAUAGUCAAGGCAUCACUGCUCUCAUCAGUCGUCAACUUCAAGAAGAAAGAAUGCCGCUGCUGUAUACGAAUCAAGAAGUAUUGAAUAAUACCCUUCACCAUACGAAUCGCCUAUGUGUACCACCUUGUACAUUUCUCCCACACUCUAUGUCGUGCAACGUUCAGACUUCGCUGUAAUAUCCUUGCCUACCGAUCGUGCGACACUCUAGCACAAAAAUCGUAUGUGAUGUAUACAUGUUAUGUUCCUGCAAUGGAUGCAUAUAUAUUAAACAAAUGUCGCAGAGAGUAAUUCCGUUAAUUGUUCUUCCUGGAUAUUGUACUAAGAGCGGCAGGGGACCCAAAUGCUUGGAGAUUGGGAAGAAUCGAAGAGACUGAUCACGAAACACCCGUUUAAUGGAAUGAUUGUUAGAUCGAUGUCAUCCUCGACAGUCAAUAUAACGUAACACCGGUGUUUUUACAUAACGCAAUUACAGCAAGCUGAUAUUCAUUGUGACUAAAUAAUGUGCAUAUUGAAAUUGUGCGUAGAGAAGAAAUUGAACAUUCUCUUGCCAAUUGAUAAUUUUCCCAGUGGCUAGUCAACUGUAUGCGAUAAUAAACUUCAAUCGUUUUGUAGCGCAUGAUGAGUUCCAUUCUAGUUUAUAAAGAGCAAUUAAUCGAUAAGUUUAUGCUUCCAGUGUAUUUGUUCGGUAUGCUUGAUCAUUGAAUUUAUAAGAGUGGCUAUUUAUAAUUUACUCCGAUAAAGUAUUUCGGUAUAUUUGGUAUGAUGGAUGAAUAAUGGAAUUAAGACUUUACAAGUAUGCAAGUGUAAUAAAAUGAGGGUGACAUACUCACAGCGGCGUAACUUCUGUUAAUGCGGGAUCUGUGAUGUCGUGGUUGGACUUGAUAGAAGUCAGGGGGGAGGCCUAAAGGAACUGAUUCUUUUCCAUACCCGGAAAUAGUGCCUUUUUACUUACACUUCCUUUCUUAAUGUUUCCAUGAAGAAAAAUAUGUACAAUAUAUUAUUAUAUGCGCCGUAUGACUUAUAUAUUUAUUCAAUCUAGUAGAAUUCUCCAAAUGUCGCUGUAUUACAUGUUUGAAAAUUCAUGUUGUGAUAUUGUUAAGUAACCGAUGUUCACGAGUCGAAGAGGCACAAGAAGUUACGCCAUCAUAUUAGCGUAUUGAACGUUACAAAGUAUGAUAUAAAAGAUAUAAAAGAUAUUGUUGCGAGAUUUAUAUCGCUACGCCGCUGCUAGAGACGCCGAAUCGCGUAUAUAACUUUCGAUACUUAAAGUAAAAAAAUUAUUACAAAUUGCUACAGGAUAAUAUCGUAAUUGCAAUCAUAAUCCAUAAUAAUUGAUAAAUUUAACAUUACGUCGAUUAUUUCAUUAUUAUUUUGUUUACAACAAUAUAUAAUAAUGAUUGUUUUAUAUAAUUGAAUAAGCGAAAGUAAAUACUUUAAGAUAUAUGUUACGUAAAACAAAUCAAGGAAAAUUGUCUAAAAAUUAUCAAUGAUAUACGAUCAAGAAAAAAAUAAAGAUAAUCGGGAUAACAAUAAGGCAUCGAAUAAAAGUUUCCCUUUUAACAAUUAAAAUAUUUCAGUAAUCAAUUAAAUAAACAGCUUUGGAAAUAACUUUAUUUAAUCUUUGAAAAUAUUGUGCAUUAAAAAUUAGAAAACUUUUAAAAACAUUAUUAAGCCGACAUCGAUAUUAAGCCCACUUAAAGUUGUAAUACAUACUUUAAGAAGACUUUUUAUAUGUAAAGUCAUAGUUCUGAACAACACACGUACAUAUUCUAUUUCGGAUAUUACCGACAGUUCAUUAUACGAUGUAACAAUUACUCUGUAUUACGAUAUACACACACAUACACAUGUAUACUGCAUAUCCGUAACGAUAUUUUGAACUGAAAAUAUCAUUUUAUGUAGCGAAGUACCGAAGAAUAUAGGAAUGCCUUUUUUAUAUGUAAUAUAAAUGUGAAAUGCAGGACCAUCAGAGUUAGUAUUUUUUGCAUACGAUCCAUAUAUGUAAAAAUAGACAAGUUUAUUACUUUCUACAUGAAUGUGAAUUAUGUGUUAUUAUGUUGAAUCUUUGUUGUUUAUCUCUUCUUGUUAUGAUUAUUUUUGUACAUGAAAUUGUUUUUAGUGCGUAGUUAGGGAUAAGCGGAGAAUGACUGAUGAGAGUUUGAGAGAUUAAAAAAUGAUUGAAUACAAUAAGAAUGCGUAUAAAAUGGCAGCGUGAAUAAAGAAAGUUAGUUUUAAAAGUAAAAA